rnacentral:rRNA from 1 species
AGUCGAACGCGCAGCAUUCUGUAGCAAUACAGGGUGUGGGCGCGUGGCGAACGGGUGCGUAACACGUGGAUAACCUUCCUUGAGGUGGGGAAUAACCCAGUGAAAAUUGGGCUAAUACCGCAUAACAUCGCGAUGGCACAUGCUGAUGCGAUCAAAGGCGCAAGUCGCCACAAGAGGGAUCCGCGGCCGAUUAGCUAGUUGGCGAGGUAAUGGCUCACCAAGGCAAUGAUCGGUAGCCGGACUGAGAGGUUGGCCGGCCACACUGGAACUGAGACACGGUCCAGACUCCUACGGGAGGCAGCAGUGGGGAAUCUUGCACAAUGGACGAAAGUCUGAUGCAGCAACGCCGCGUGGGGGAUGAAGCUUCUCGGAGUGUAAACCCCUUUCGACCCGGAAGAAUGCCCGCAAGGGUAUGACGGUACGGGUAUAAGAAGCCCCGGCUAACUACGUGCCAGCAGCCGCGGUAAUACGUAGGGGGCCAGCGUUGCUCGGAAUUACUGGGCGUAAAGGGUCCGUAGGCGGUGUAGCAAGUCGAUAGUGAAAUCUCUGCGCUUAACGCAGAGGCUGCUAACGAAACUGCUGUGCUAGAGUGUGAGAGAGGCGAGUGGAAUUACGGGUGUAGCGGUGAAAUGCGUAGAUAUCCGUAGGAACAUCCGAGGCGA